UGUCUCUGCGAUGUGAUGAAGAAAUAUUAUUUAUAAAAUAUGUUUAUGGUUUUCGUUUUUGCAUAUUAUUGAAAUAUGUUUAAUCCAUGUUAUGUUAGCUUUGCUAUUAUAUUGUUUUUGUUGCGUUAUAGAAAUGUUUAGUUCGUGAGAAAGUGUGGCGGGAAUUUCCCACACGGUAACAUUCUGGCUCCUCCUUGCAGGAGUUUCUUUCAUGCCAGAGACUGACUUUACCUCGGUGCCCAUGUGUGAAAUGCAGGUGGAGAAUUAAAGAAAACAACUGAUGCCA